UACGAAGGGGGCUAGCGUUGUUCGGAAUUACUGGGCGUAAAGCGCGUGUAGGCGGGUCGUUAAGUCGGGGGUGAAAGCCCAGAGCUCAACUCUGGAACUGCCUUCGAUACUGGCGACCUGGACCCAAGUAGAGGCGGGUGGAAUUGCGAGUGUAGAGGUGAAAUUCGUAGAUAUUCGCAGGAACACCAGUGGCGAAGGCGGCAACCUGGGCCAAUACUGACGCUGAGGUGCGAAAGCGUGGGGAGCAAACAGG
rnacentral:rRNA from 1 species